AUUGAACGCUGGCGGCAGGCCUAACACAUGCAAGUCGAGCGGGGUUUUCGGACCUAGCGGCGGACGGGUGAGUAAUGCGUAGGAAGCUGCCCGAUAGAGGGGGAUACCAGUUGGAAACGACUGGUAAUACCGCAUAAUGUCUACGGACCAAAGUGUGGGACCUUCGGGACACAUGCUAUCGGAUGCGCCUACGUGGGAUUAGCCAGUUGGUGGGGUAAGGGCCUACCAAGGCGACGAUCGGUAGCUGGUCUGAGAGGAUGACCAGGCAAACUGGAACUGAGACACGGUCCAGACUCCUACGGGAGGCAGCAGUGGGGAAUAUUGGACAAUGGGGGGAACCCUGAUCCAGCAAUGCCGCGUGUGUGAAAAAGGCCUGAGGGUUGUAAAGCACUUUCAGUGGGGAGGAGGUUACUUAGGUUAAGAGCUAGAGUAAUGGACGUUACCCACAGAAGAAGCACCGGCUAACUCCGUGCCAGCAGCCGCCGUAAAAC
rnacentral:rRNA from 1 species